rnacentral:rRNA from 1 species
GAUGAACGCUGGCGGCGUGCCUAAUACAUGCAAGUCGAACGCUGGAGAUCUAGCUUGCUAGAUCGAAGGAGUGGCGAACGGGUGAGUAAUACAUAAGCAACCUACCCACGAAGACUGGGAUAAUCUCUGGAAACGGGGACUAAUGCCGGAUAGGUAAUCGGAAGGCAUCUUCUGGUUAUUAAAGGUUAAAAACACUGGUGGAUGGGCUUAUGGCGCAUUAGUUAGUUGGUGAGGUAACGGCCCACCAAGACGAUGAUGCGUAGCCGGCCUGAGAGGGUGAACGGCCACAUUGGGACUGAGACACGGCCCAGACUCCUACGGGAGGCAGCAGUAGGGAAUUUUCGGCAAUGGGGGCAACCCUGACCGAGCAACGCCGCGUGAGUGAAGACGGCCUUCGGGUUGUAAAGCUCUGUUGUAAGGGAAGAACGGUAGAUAGAGAAUAUCUAAGUGACGGUACCUUACCAGAAAGCCACGGCUAACUACGUG